rnacentral:rRNA from 1 species
UCGGCUCAUCACAUCCUGGGGCUGUAGCCGGUCCCAAGGGUAUGGCUGUUCGCCAUUUAAAGUGGUACGUGAGCUGGGUUUAAAACGUCGUGAGACAGUUUGGUCCCUAUCUGCCGUGGGCGCUGGAUAUUUGAGGGGACCUGCUCCUAGUACGAGAGGACCGGAGUGGACGGAUCUCUGGUGUACCGGUUGUCACGCCAGUGGCAUCGCCGGGUAGCUAAAUCCGGAAGAGAUAAACGCUGAAAGCAUCUAAGCGUGAAACUCGCCUCAAGAUGAGAUAUCCCGGGGGUUCAACCCCCCUGAAGGGUCGUCCAAGACCAGGACGUUGAUAGGUCGGGUGUGGAAGCGCAGCAAUGCGUUAAGCUAACCGAUACUAAUUGCCCGUGCGGCUUGACCCU